rnacentral:rRNA from 1 species
UCUUCGUACGGGACGCAGCAGUGGGGAAUAUUGCACAAUGGGGGAAACCCUGAUGCAGCAACGCCGCGUGAGUGAAGAAGUAUUUCGGUAUGUAAAGCUCUAUCAGCAGGGAAGAAGAUGACGGUACCUGACCAAGAAGCCCCGGCUAACUACGUGCCAGCAGCCGCGGUAAUACGUAGGGGGCAAGCGUUAUCCGGAUUUACUGGGUGUAAAGGGAGCGCAGACGGCAGCGCAAGUCUGGAGUGAGAGCCCGGGGCCCAACCCCGGAACUGCUCUGGAAACUGUGCGUCUAGAGUACUGGAGGG